UGAAUACGAGACGCUAAGGCGUCGAAGUAGUGUAUGUCAUACUUCCAAGAAAAGCUUGCACUGUCAUAGAUAAAAAACGCCUGUACCAUAACCGACACAGGUGGGUAGGUAGAGUAUACUAAGGGGCGCGAGAUAACUCUCCCUAAGGAACUCGGCAAAAUAACUCCGUAACUUCGGGAGAAGGAGUGCCUUAUUCUUAAGGUUGCAAUAACAAGAUCCAAGCAACUGUUUAUCAAAAACACAGGUCUCCGCUAAGUCGUAAGACGAUGUAUGGGGGCUGACGCCUGCCCAGUGCCAGAAGGUUAAAGAAGCUGGUUAGCAUUUGCGAAGCUAGUAACUGAAGCCCUGGUGAACGGCGGCCGUAACAAUAACGGUCCUAAGGUAGCGAAAUUCCUUGUCGGGUAAGUUCCGACCCGCACGAAAGGCGUAAUGAUUUGGAUACUGUCUCGGAGAGGGGCUCGGUGAAAUAGACUUGUCUGUGAAGAUGCGGACUACCUGCACCAGGACAGAAAGACCCUAUGAAGCUUUACUGUAACUUGAAAUUGAAAUUGGACUUUAUUCGCGCAGUAUAGGUGGGAGGCGUUGAUUAUAAUCUUGCGGGAUUAUUGGAGCCAUUAGUGAGAUACCACUCUUGUAAUGUUAGAUUUCUAACUUUGAAUCAUUAUCUGGUCAAAGAACAGUUUCAGGCGGGCAGUUUGACUGGGGCGGUCGCCUCCCAAACGGUAACGGAGGCGUACAAAGGUUUCCUCUGAACGGUUAGAAAUCGUAUCUAGAGUGUAAAGGCAUAAGGAAGCUUGACUGUGAGACCUACAAGUCGAGCAGGGACGAAAGUCGGUCUUAGUGAUCUGACGGUACUGAGUGGAAAGGCCGUCACUCAACGGAUAAAAGUUACUCUAGGAUAACAGGCUGAUCUCCCCCAAGAGUUCACAUCGACGGGGAGGUUUGGUACCUCGAUGUCGGCUCAUCGCAUCCUGGGGCGGUAGUACGUCCCAAGGGUUGGGCUGUUCGCCCAUGAAAGCGGUACGCGAGCUGGGUUCAGAACGUCGUGAGACAGUUUGGUCCAUAUCCGGUGUAGGCGUUAGAAUAUUGAGAGGAGCCUUCUUUAGUACGAGAGGACCGAGAAGGACAUACCUCUGGUGUACCAGUUAUCGUGCCAACGGUAGACGCUGGGUAGCUAUGUAUGGAGUGGAUAACCGCUGAAAGCAUCUAAGUGGGAAGCCCACCUCAAGAUAAGUAUUCAC
rnacentral:rRNA from 1 species